AAUUGAAGUGAUUUUCAAAUACAUUUUCUGUUUUUAAGCUUUAGUGCGUUUUGGGUGUUUUAUAUAUACUACAUUAAGAUUUUCAUUAAUUGAUUAGUUGGGCUAUAUGGUAGGAAAUGAUAAUUCCCGAACAGUUUCGGAAGAGGAGCAAGCCCUUAACGCGGGGCAGAUAGUUUUAUGUGGAGUUAUGGAGAAAAAUGUAGACAGCAUCAAAGUGUAUGCUUUGGGUCUACAAACAAGUGCCCUACAUGACCCUACACAUUAAAUUGAAAUAACAUUAAAAUUAUUCCUGACAUUAAAUAUCAAGUGCAAUACGCGCUAUGGCAAAGUAGGUGAUGUAAACAUAUUUCAGCGGUUUUAAUAAUGUGUACAAGGUGUUGAUCGUUUCUAAUUAUAACGGUGCAAUCAAGCCAGUGUGAUUUUAUGUUUUUAUUUGUUUUUGCCUUGUUUGCUUUGUUUUUUUUUUCUUUCAGAAAAUCGCCAGGAAAUUUAGAAAAAAUUCAGAUAUUUCUUGUGGUUGGGCCACGCAAAAGAAGGACACGCAGAAAAAGUAUAAAGCUGUUCCAAUUGAAGAAAUGCCCUGUUCAAAUAUUGAUGUCGAGGAAAAUCAAUGAUAGCAUUUUAAUGCAGAUUAAAAAUAAUUUUAUAUCCGCUAUGCACUAUCAUUACAUUGCAAGUAAUGACAAAUAUUUCAUUAAAAAUUUUAGAGCUGGUAGAAGAUCUGAACAGGCUACACAGAGCACCGGGAAUUAAUUUGAAAUUUUGACUUCUUUGACUAUUCUAAACCAUGCUUGUCAAUCAUCAUUGACAAUGAAAUUGGGUCAAUUGAAAAAUAAUUUUUUGGCCGAUUGUUGCCAAAAGACGUAUGAUAACAACUGAGACUCUGUAAUAAUCGAAACAAAGAAAUCAAAAUUUAAGUGGAUUUCUGAGAGGCAAUUUAGAAUUACAGGGUCACGAGUAUAUGAAAUUUAUAAUUAUAGUGAAAAGGAUUGGGGCCAAAAAUGGUAUUUUUUCCCAAUCAGUCGCUCGGUCAAAAUUCAAAAUUAAAACAGAUUUUAGUGAAGCUGAGUGUGGCCUGGUAAUUUUGCUGUUUAAUCCAUGGCUAGGAUUUUUACCGGGCGGCAUAAUCAUGGAAACCGAAGAAAAGCCCAUGGCCUUAAUUGAAAUAAAAUGCCCUUUUUCAGGAAAAAAAGACUAUAAGAAAUGUAAUCAAAAGUUGACCGUAUUUAGAAAUUCAAAAUAAUUCACCAACAUUUAAAAAAAAUCAUCAAUAUUACGGACAAAUUCAGUUGGGAAUGACAAUUUUAAAUUUGGAAUUGAUCUAUUUUGUUGUUUUUUGUUCGUUCGA